UACGUAGGGGGCGAGCGUUGUCCGGAAUUACUGGGCGUAAAGCGUGCGCAGGCGGUUGUGCAAGACAGAUGUGAAAUCCCCGGGCUCAACCUGGGAAUUGCAUUUGUGACUGCACGGCUAGAGUGUGUCAGAGGGGGGUAGAAUUCCACGUGUAGCAGUGAAAUGCGUAGAGAUGUGGAGGAAUACCGAUGGCGAAGGCAGCCCCCUGGGAUAACACUGACGCUCAUGCACGAAAGCGUGGGGAGCAAACAGG
rnacentral:rRNA from 1 species